UUGCAGUGCGGGUGCUAUACAUGCAGUCGAGCGGACAGAAGGGAGCUUGCUCCCGGAUGUUAGCGGCGGACGGGUGAGUAACACGUGGGUAACCUGCCUGUAAGACUGGGAUAACUCCGGGAAACCGGAGCUAAUACCGGAUAGUUCCUUGAACCGCAUGGUUCAAGGAUGAAAGACGGUUUCGGCUGUCACUUACAGAUGGACCCGCGGCGCAUUAGCUAGUUGGUGAGGUAACGGCUCACCAAGGCGACGAUGCGUAGCCGACCUGAGAGGGUGAUCGGCCACACUGGGACUGAGACACGGCCCAGACUCCUACGGGAGGCAGCAGUAGGGAAUCUUCCGCAAUGGACGAAAGUCUGACGGAGCAACGCCGCGUGAGUGAUGAAGGUUUUCGGAUCGUAAAGCUCUGUUGUUAGGGAAGAACAAGUGCAAGAGUAACUGCUUGCACCUUGACGGUACCUAACCAGAAAGCCACGGCUAACUACGUGCCAGCAGCCGCGGUAAUACGUAGGUGGCAAGCGUUGUCCGGAAUUAUUGGGCGUAAAGGGCUCGCAGGCGGU
rnacentral:rRNA from 1 species